CACGUAGUUAGCCGGUGCUUCUUCUACCACUACCGUCACAAAAGCUUCGUCAUGGUUGAAAGGAGUUUACAACCCGAAGGCCGUCAUCCCCCACGCGGCGUCGCUGCAUCGGGCUUGCGCCCAUUGUGCAAUAUUCCCCACUGCUGCCUCCCGUAGGAGUCUGGGCCGUGUCUCAGUCCCAAUGUGGCCGUCCACCCUCUCAGGCCGGCUACCCGUCGCCGCCUUGGUAGGCCAUUACCCCACCAACAAGCUGAUAGGCCGCGAGCUCAUCCUGCACCGAAAAACUUUCCACCACCAGUACCAACCGGUAGUCCUAUCCGGUAUUAGACCCAGUUUCCCAGGCUUAUCCCGAAGUGCAGGGCAGAUCACCCACGUGUUACUCACCCGUUCGCCACUCGAGUACCGGGUGCAAGCACCCGGCCUUUCCGUUCGACUUGCAUGUGUUAAGCACGCCGCCAGCGUGUCUCGUGCACGAGUCAACUACU
rnacentral:rRNA from 1 species